CCCUUAGAUGUCCGGGGCUGCACGCGCGCUACACUGACUGGCUCAGCGUGUGCCUACCCUACGCCGGCAGGCGCGGGUAACCCGUUGAACCCCAUUCGUGAUGGGGAUCGGGGAUUGCAAUUAUUCCCCAUGAACGAGGAAUUCCCAGUAAGUGCGGGUCAUAAGCUUGCGUUGAUUAAGUCCCUGCCCUUUGUACACACCGCCCGUCGCUACUACCGAUUGGAUGGUUUGGUGAGGCCCUCGGAUCGGCCCCGCCGGGGUCGGCCCACGGCCCUGGCGGAGCGCUGAGAAGACGGUCGAACUUGACUAUCUAGAGGAAGUAAAAGUCGUAACA
rnacentral:rRNA from 1 species